GACGAACCGAGCGAACGUUGUUCGGAAUCACUGGGCUUAAAGGGCGCGUAGGCGGCUUGCCAAGUCCGGGGUGAAAUCCUGCAGCUUAACUGUAGAAGGGCCUUGGAUACUGGCGAGCUCGAGGGAGGUAGGGGUAUGUGGAACUUCCGGUGGAGCGGUGAAAUGCGUUGAUAUCGGAAGGAACGCCGGUGGCGAAAGCGACGUACUGGACCUCUUCUGACGCUGAGGCGCGAAAGCUAGGGGAGCAAACGGG
rnacentral:rRNA from 1 species